CAGCACCUCAAGUGGUCAGGAUGAUUAUUGGGCCUAAAGCAUCCGUAGCCGGCGCUGUAAGUUUUCGGUUAAAUCUGUACGCUCAACGUACAGGCUGCCGGGAAUACUGCAGCGCUAGGGAGUGGGAGAGGUAGACGGUACUCGGUAGGAAGGGGUAAAAUCCUUUGAUCUAUUGAUGACCACCUGUGGCCAAGGCGGUCUACCAGAACACGUCCGACGGUGAGGGAUGAAAGAUGGGGGAGCAAACCGGAUUAGAUACCCGAGUAGUCC
rnacentral:rRNA from 1 species